GGUGGGGAAUUUGGCUGCUCCAGUUGAAGAAUGGACCGUUAGUGGGACAGUUUUAACUGCACUAAUGGACGUGGAGAGAAGACAUGGAAAGUUUAAGCCUGCAAUCAAGAAGGCCAUGGUGGAGCUUCAAGGAACACUGUAAAUGGCGAUAAGCGAUGGUGUUGUACUUACCUUCUUGCUCCUUCUGAUCCUUUGUUCGUUGAACUUGGAGCAGCUUUUAUUAAACGACAAAUCGAAGAAUAUGGAGAUGUGACAGAUAUAUACAAUUGGAUGUAUUAUUGUACAACUUUUUUGGAUCAUCUCCUUUGGGAGAACAAUGGAAGGUUAUAUGCAACUACACCAC